rnacentral:rRNA from 1 species
CUACGGGAGGCAGCAGUGGGGAAUAUUGGGCAAUGGAGGAAACUCUGACCCAGCGACGCCGCGUGCGGGAUGAAGGCCUUCGGGUUGUAAACCGCUUUCAGCAGGGAAGAAGGGAAAGUGACGGUACCUGCAGAAGAAGCACCGGCUAACUAUGUGCCAGCAGCCGCGGUAAUACAUAGGGUGCAAGCGUUGUCCGGAAUUAUUGGGCGUAAAGAGCUCGUAGGUGGUUCGUCACGUCGGAUGUGAAACUCUGGGGCUUAACCCCAGACCUGCAUUCGAUACGGGCGAGCUUGAGUAUGGUAGGGGAGACUGGAAUUCCU